GACGAACGCUGGCGGCGUGCUUAACACAUGCAAGUCGAACGGAAAGGCCUUUUCGGAGGUACUCGAGUGGCGAACGGGUGAGUAACACGUGGGUGAUCUGCCCUGCACUCUGGGAUAAGCCUGGGAUACUGGGUCUAAUACCGGAUAGGACCGCACUUUAGUGUGUGUGGUGGAAAGUUUUUUCGGUGUAGGAUGAGCCCGCGGCCUAUCAGCUUGUUGGUGGGGUAAUGGCCUACCAAGGCGGCGACGGGUAGCCGGACUGAGAGGUUGGUCGGCCACAUUGGGACUGAGAUACGGCCCAGACUCCUACGGGAGGCAGCAGUGGGGAGUAUUGCACAAUGGGCGCAAGCCUGAUGCAGCGACGCCGCGUGGGGGAGGACGGCCUUCGGGUUGUAGACGCCUUUCGCCAGGGACGAAGCGUUUUGUGACGGUACCUGGAGAAGAAGCACCGGCUAACUACGUG
rnacentral:rRNA from 1 species